rnacentral:rRNA from 2 species
UUCCUGUCCAACGUUAAUCGGGGCAGGGUGAGUCGACCCCUAAGGCGAGGCCGAAAGGCGUAGUCGAUGGGAAACGGGUUAAUAUUCCCGUACUUGGUGUUACUGCGAAGGGGGGACGGAGAAGGCUAUGUUGGCCGGGCGACGGUUGUCCCGGUUUAAGCGUGUAGGUGUGUGUUCCAGGUAAAUCCGGUUCACUUUAACACUGAGGCGUGACGACGAGGCACUACGGUGCUGAAGCAACAAAUGCCCUGCUUCCAGGAAAAGCCUCUAAGCAUCAGGUAACAUCAAAUCGUACCCCAAACCGACACAGGUGGUCAGGUAGAGAAUACCAAGGCGCUUGAGAGAACUCGGGUGAAGGAACUAGGCAAAAUGGUGCCGUAACUUCGGGAGAAGGCACGCUGACACGUAGGUGAAGUGAUUUACUCAUGGAGCUGAAGUCAGUCGAAGAUACCAGCUGGCUGCAACUGUUUAUUAAAAACACAGCACUGUGCAAACACGAAAGUGGACGUAUACGGUGUGACGCCUGCCCGGUGCCGGAAGGUUAAUUGAUGGGGUCAGCGCAAGCGAAGCUCCUGAUCGAAGCCCCGGUAAACGGCGGCCGUAACUAUAACGGUCCUAAGGUAGCGAAAUUCCUUGUCGGGUAAGUUCCGACCUGCACGAAUGGCGUAAUGAUGGCCAGGCUGUCUCCACCCGAGACUCAGUGAAAUUGAACUCGCUGUGAAGAUGCAGUGUACCCGCGGCAAGACGGAAAGACCCCGUGAACCUUUACUAUAGCUUGACACUGAACAUUGAGCCUUGAUGUGUAGGAUAGGUGGGAGGCUUUGAAGUGUGGACGCCAGUCUGCAUGGAGCCGACCUUGAAAUACCACCCUUUAAUGUUUGAUGUUCUAACGUGGACCCGUUACCCGGGUUGCGGACAGUGUCUGGUGGGUAGUUUGACUGGGGCGGUCUCCUCCUAAAGAGUAACGGAGGAGCACGAAGGUUGGCUAAUCCUGGUCGGACAUCAGGAGGUUAGUGCAAUGGCAUAAGCCAGCUUGACUGCGAGCGUGACGGCGCGAGCAGGUGCGAAAGCAGGUCAUAGUGAUCCGGUGGUUCUGAAUGGAAGGGCCAUCGCUCAACGGAUAAAAGGUACUCCGGGGAUAACAGGCUGAUACCGCCCAAGAGUUCAUAUCGACGGCGGUGUUUGGCACCUCGAUGUCGGCUCAUCACAUCCUGGGGCUGAAGUAGGUCCCAAGGGUAUGGCUGUUCGCCAUUUAAAGUGGUACGCGAGCUGGGUUUAGAACGUCGUGAGACAGUUCGGUCCCUAUCUGCCGUGGGCGCUGGAGAACUGAGGGGGGCUGCUCCUAGUACGAGAGGACCGGAGUGGACGCAUCACUGGUGUUCGGGUUGUCAUGCCAAUGGCACUGCCCGGUAGCUAAAUGCGGAAGAGAUAAGUGCUGAAAGCAUCUAAGCACGAAACUUGCCCCGA